AAACAAGUCUGUUUACUUUUCAUAACAUAUGAUCUUAAUCACAGUUAUUUCACAAUGUCAAAAAAAAAAUGAAUUACCUGAGCUCCAAACUGGGGCUUAAGUGAGAGCGAAUGUACAGGGGCGUGGAUGUAAUUGGGUGAAAUCACAAAGGAAAACCGUUGAAGAAUCAUGGCUAGCACUACUUUGGCCUCCAAUAUCGCAAAGUUUUGUCCAAUGCAAACCCUUGGGCCUAAUGAAAAUGGCAUGAAUGCAUUCGGAUGCUUGGCAGCUUUUGAAAUUCCUUCUCUGAACCGCUCUGGGUUGAACUCGUACACGUUGUCUCCCCAUACAGAUGGAUCAUGGUGCAUUGCAAGGAUUGGAAUCUGCAGUUGCGUACCUGCAGGAAUUGUGAGUCUGCCAAGCUUCAUUGGCUUUUCCGUUUGUCGGAAUAGUGUUACUAUAGGUGGAUAAAGCCGCAUGGAUUCAUUGAAAAUCAUCCCCAUCUGCAAUAAUAAGGUUUGAUUCUAUCAAUGGAAGCUGACAAAACAGGACCACAUGCACACAUUGUACGAAUACUCUCAUGACUUACAAUGGACAGUGUAAGUUGUUUGUAGGUUUCUUAUGUAGAUACAACCACAUCAUUGCACUUGUGAAUUUUUAAUUCUAUUUGUAACCAAACACAUCGGAUCCUACCUGUAGUUCAGAAUGCGCUUUUAUGAAGAUACAGAUUCUGUUGGGAUUGUUGGUGUUGCUAUUCAUCACCUGAAUUGGCAAUAUUGUGUUUUAAUGAUGAUAACAGUGGUCUAGAAAAUGAAAAACAGUAACAGAGGUCUAAGGAAAUAGUGUUUAUUCAAGAUCACUUAGGAACAAAAAGUUUUAAUAGAAAGUUCAGCAUAAACAGUAAAGUGCAACUGCUAACUGUUCCUUGUGAACAAGUCUUGUUUUAUCUGAUUAUGGACCGUACAGUUAAUGCUUCUUGAUGUUAAAAAAUUAUCAGAGUUGCAGCUAGAAGCAUUCCUGAUUUCACUAAUAUGGACUGCGGAAAUAUUGUGUCUCUCAAUAAACUUAUCUGUAAACUCUAAAUUGUUCUGACUACAAGUAAACAUUCACUUUGGCUAGCUGAGCAAGUCCAUUUGAAUUUGAUGAAAAUACUUAUCUGUUUCUACUAUUGAGUUUGCAAUUUCAGGCACCUUAGAAGUUGCAAUUCAAUACUAGAGAACUUUUAUGUGCAUGUCAUUCCCUGGGUAACGAACAUUUUGAAAUUACUUGAUGUGCAGGACUGAUCAAAAUACAACAUUGCAAAUCUAAAGUUACAGUUAUGACUUUCUUGAACCUUGUUAAUUCUGAUAUGUAGAUGAUCAAAUCACAUUACUCUUAAUAGAUAAUUAUUAUAUAGAAAUAAGUUAGCUCCCAAUGAAUCUUCAAAAAUAAUUACUCUUACACAAGAUGCAAUGUAUAACAGGGAAAACAUGUUGGAGGAUGUUGCAAUAAUGUGACAUUAUAUCCUCUCAUAAAUGUCACUGUUUAAAUAGAUAAUAUAUUUAAAGUUUCAUUUUA